UCCUAUGGAUAAGCAAAGAAAGUAGUUUCUUGAGAUAGAACCUACUCUUGGGGAAGAUGCUGUGAA
rnacentral:pre_miRNA from 1 species